UGCGGUUCUCGGGUGAUGCACCCUGGAACCAGAGAGGAGGGAGCCCGAUUCCAGGGUGCAUCACCCGAGAACUGCC
rfam:Myotis brandtii contig187780, whole genome shotgun sequence.